rnacentral:rRNA from 1 species
GACGAACGCUGGCGGCGUGCUUAACACAUGCAAGUCGAACGGAAAGGCCCUGCUUUUGUGGGGUGCUCGAGUGGCGAACGGGUGAGUAACACGUGAGUAACCUGCCCUUGACUUUGGGAUAACUUCAGGAAACUGGGGCUAAUACCGGAUAGGAGCUCCUGCUGCAUGGUGGGGGUUGGAAAGUUUCGGCGGUUGGGGAUGGACUCGCGGCUUAUCAGCUUGUUGGUGGGGUAGUGGCUUACCAAGGCUUUGACGGGUAGCCGGCCUGAGAGGGUGACCGGCCACAUUGGGACUGAGAUACGGCCCAGACUCCUACGGGAGGCAGCAGUGGGGAAUAUUGCACAAUGGGCGGAAGCCUGAUGCAGCAACGCCGCGUGCGGGAUGACGGCCUUCGGGUUGUAAACCGCUUUCGCCUGUGACGAAGCGUGAGUGACGGUAAUGGGUAAGAAGCACCAGCUAACUACGUG